rnacentral:rRNA from 1 species
AUUGAACGCUGGCGGCAGGCUUAACACAUGCAAGUCGAGCGGGGGAAGGUAGCUUGCUACCGGACCUAGCGGCGGACGGGUGAGUAAUGCUUAGGAAUCUGCCUAUUAGUGGGGGACAACAUCUCGAAAGGGAUGCUAAUACCGCAUACGUCCUGCGGGAGAAAGCAGGGGAUCUUCGGACCUUGCGCUAAUAGAUGAGCCUAAGUCGGAGUAGCUAGUUGGUGGGGUAAAGGCCUACCAAGGCGACGAUCGGUAGCGGGUCUGAGUGGAUGAUCCGCCACACUGGGACUGAGACACGGCCCAGACUCCUACGGGAGGCAGCAGUGGGGAAUAUUGGACAAUGGGGGGAACCCUGAUCCAGCCAUGCCGCGUGUGUGAAGAAGGCCUUAUGGUUGUAAAGCACUUUAAGCGAGGAGGAGGCUACUUUAGUUAAUACCUAGAGAUAGUGGACGUUACUCGCAGAAUAAGCACCGGCUAACUCUGUGCCAGCCGCCGCGGUAA